rnacentral:lncRNA from 10 species
CUUUUUUUUUUUAAUAGAGGCUGGGUUUGUCCAUGUUGGUCAGACUGGUCUCGAACUCCCAACCUCAGGUGAUCCGCCCGCCUUGGCCUCCCAAAGUGCUGGGAUUACAGGCAUGAGCCAAGGCACCUGGCCCAUUACCUCCAUCCUUUUAAAUAAAAAGUAAUCACUAAGGAGAUUAAAUAGACUACUACUUUUGAAGAUGUAUAUAAAUGAAUAUACAUAUGUUUGUGUAUGUAUAUUCACAUAUAUAUAUAUGUACAUCCAGGUAUAUGUGAAUUAUUUAUAAAACAAAGAAAAGUUUCUAUUGUAAAGAGAGCUGAUGGUUUUCCUUGUAUUUUCUUUCUCAACUCUAACUCAUGGGGAAUGAGAAGAAGUGUUUUUAUCUGUAUCAAGCCAGUUGAGGGUCUUCAAACUAAACACUGAAAGAGUUUGCUGUAAAGUCAUGGAACCAGGGUAUACUGACUCCAUCUACACAAGUCAAAGGUUUGCCACUUCUAGGUAAUGGAAAACAUUGGAAGACCAGAGAAUUCUUAAAUAUGAGUCCAUGAGUCCACUUUCUUGAUCUUUUCUUGGUUGAGGACUAUGUUGCUGAGAUACCAAGGAGACUAGUAAAACAUUUCUACUAAAAGUGCAGCCUGCUCACAAGCACUGGUUGCUAAACAACUAAUUACCAGUCUAGAACUAGAGAAAGUCAAAAAUUGAUAGAAUAUUUUAGAAACUUUUGUGGAAUUUUGACAUGGCUACCAUAUUCAAGUACAUUUUCAAUGGGUCCAUUUGUGGCUGAAAAUAUUAAGCAAGGUGUGACCCUUCUUGGAAAUGCCAUCAUGUGUUUAUGCUGACACCAAAACAGGCUCAUUGAUUUUCCAGCUUUCUAAUUCAUGCAAUCUCAGAUUUGAAAGGACACAACAAAAAUUUAGCCAAGAGUAAAUCUAAUUCUAAUAAAAUAUGGUCCAAAGAUAUGUUCAGCUUAUGAUUAAAGUAAAAUUUUAUUGUGACUUUUUUUAAGAAUCCAAGUGUUCUCCUACUUACCAGAGAAUGAUGAUUAAUG